GUCGAGGGGCAGCGGAGGCGAGUGCUUGCACUUGCCAGACGGCGACCGGCGCACGGGUGAGUAACACGUAUGCGACCUGCCCGUAGCAGGGGGAUAAGCGGAAGAAAUUCCGUCUAAUACCGCGUAAUAUCUUUCGGGGGCAUCCCUGAGGGAUUAAAGGAAGCGAUUCCGGCUACGGAUGGGCAUGCGGCGCAUUAGCUAGUCGGCGGGGUAACGGCCCACCGAGGCGACGAUGCGUAGGGGUUCUGAGAGGAAGGUCCCCCACACUGGUACUGAGACACGGACCAGACUCCUACGGGAGGCAGCAGUGAGGAAUAUUGGUCAAUGGGCGAGAGCCUGAACCAGCCAAGUCGCGUGAGGGAAGACGGUCCUAUGGAUUGUAAACCUCUUUUGUCGGGGAGCAAAAAGGCCUCGUGAGGCCACAAGCGAGAGUACCCGAAGAAAAAGCAUCGGCUAACUCCGUGCCAGCAGCCGCGGUAAUACGGAGGAUGCGAGCGUUAUCCGGAUUUAUUGGGUUUAAAGGGUGCGUAGGCGGACUGGAAAGUCAGCGGUAAAAUCGAGAGGCUCAACCUCUUUCCGCCGUUGAAACUGUCGGUCUUGAGUGGGCGAGAAGUAUGCGGAAUGCGUGGUGUAGCGGUGAAAUGCAUAGAUAUCACGCAGAACUCCGAUUGCGAAGGCAGCAUACCGGCGCUCAACUGACGCUCAUGCACGAAAGCGUGGGUAUCGAACAGGAUUAGAUACCCUGGUAGUCCACGCAGUAAACGAUGAAUACUAACUGUCCGGGCAGAAUGAUGCCUGGGUGGUACAGCGAAAGCGUUAAGUAUUCCACCUGGGGAGUA
rnacentral:rRNA from 1 species